rnacentral:lncRNA from 1 species
ACACAAACUGCAAACAAAUUAAAUCGAGUAGUAGCUGAUACUGCCGGACUUGGUCGGAUCGGAGAUGGCCGGAGGAGGAGAUGAGCUGAAGCUUCUUGCGACAUGGUUCAGCCCGUUCGCUUCCAGAGUGAAGUUCGUGUUCCAUCUCAAGGGCCUGAGCUACGAGAACAUCGAGGAGGACCUCAAGAACAAGAGCGAGCUCCUCCUCAAGAGCAACCCCGUGAUCAAGAAGGUCCCCGUGCUCCUCCACAACGGCAAGCCGCUGUGCGAGUCCAUGGUCAUCGUCGAGUACCUCGAUGAGACCUUCGCCGCCGUCGGCCCGUCCGUCGUCCCCGCCGACCCCUACGAACGCGCCGUCGCUCGCUUCUGGGUCUCCUACAUCGACAACAAGGUGAAAUACUCUCUUGUGUACAGUGCAUCUCCCGUGUCAGAGCAUAUGAAAUGGUCUAGCUGAUGUCAAGCAUGAAACGCAUGGCUGUGCAGCUGGUGGCGCCAUGGUUCCAGGUGUUCAGGGGAAAGACGAAGGAGGAGAAGGCGGAGGGGCUGAAGCAGAUGUUCGAGGCAACGGCGGUCAUGGAGGUGGCAUUCAGGGAGUGCUCCAAGGGGAGGCCCUUCUUCGGCGGCGACGCCGUCGGGAUCGUCGACGUCGCGCUCGGCAGCCAGCUUGGGUGGCUGCGCGCGUCGGAGACGCUGUCCGGGAUCAAGCUGUUCGACCCGGCCAAGACGCCGCUCCUGCUGGCGUGGGCGGAGCGCUUCCUCGCGCUGGACGCGGCGAAGGCGUCCAUGCCGGAGUCCGGUAGGCUGCUCGCGUAUGCCAAGAUGAGGCAGGCCGAGACCGAUGCCGCCAAUGCAAGCAAGUGAUCACCUGCGAGCUGCGACGUCGCUCUACUGCGAGGAACGAACCCCUGCACAUGUUUUUUUGGGGGGAAUCGAGUUAAAAUAAUAUGGCACGUGCACGGUGGUGGCACGACUGUUGCACGACUGGAAAUUGUGUUUUCCUAUGACCAAUAAAAUAAAAUAUUCUGCACACAAAAUAAAAAGGCGACAGACCUUAAAAAAUGAACAUGCCAAAAGGUUGACACUUAAACAAAUCUCUCUAUCUGCCUGCCUAUCAAUUCCUGUGUGUCACAGUAUAUUAUAAGAGCAUGUUUACCGUCCAGCAAGUUUUACCCCCCAGUAUAGGUACCCGUUGUUACCAAAACUAAUCCGACCGUUGAAUCCGGGAUGGGUAGGAUCGGGAGAGAAAAUGAGCAGGGGUGCGCUCAAUCCCGGCGCCAACGGCGUGUGAGUAGGAGCGGCGGAGUUGAAGUCAUCGUUCCCAGUGUCGACGGGCGGAGAAGGAGGAUUCCUUCCUGGUGCCGACGGAAGGAGAAAGAGGAUUCUUUCCCAGCGCCAAGGGGCCUAGGAGGAUAAGUCCUUCCCGGCGGCAAGGGGCGGACGAGGAGGAGUUCUUUUGCGGCACAAUGCGGACGAGAUCGACGCACUCCAGGCGGCGAUGGCGUUGGUGGGAACAUCACCCUAUCCGCCCAUCUAUUCCUCCCAUCCAUCUAUUGCACGUGAAAUUAUAUUUUUGCCCUUCCACCUCUAUUCUCCAAGAGGCACCGUAUCAGGGACAGAAUUGGUACCUCACGGUACCAAACUCUACCAGAUCCAAUGGCCGGGAUUUGAUACCGUAAGGUACCAUUGGAUGGAAAAAAAACUCAUAUUAUAAAGAACUAUUUUGCUAAAAAAAAUAUAUAGUGCCAUAUUUUGUACUUGAUUUCAGUUUUUUCUUAAAAAAAUUGAUAUGUUCCAUGUUUUUUUUUUACUAAAUCACGGGGGGGGGGGGGGGAGAGAUUCCUGAAUUUAUCAUUGCAAUUAGAGGUAAGAAGCUCAUUACAAAAGAUUGAUAGAUUGUAAGGGGGAGGAGAAGAUCUGUUUCCAAACAGAGAUUACAAAUCGAUCAUCUUCCGUUAAGUUCUCUGCCCAGAGAGCUGCCUCGGUGAUGCAUCGGAUAUGUUCCAUGUUAUAUUUAAGUGUGUGCUUUUUAUCCAGUGUGGCCAUCUCGCUCGGCCAACAAGCGACACCGAGGCCGGUCUCGCAUUUUCGCCUUACGAGUUUGCCCGUGUCAUCACGCUUCCAUCAGUAUCACGCGUUCGUCCUACGAUUUCGUCAUGAUUUCGCACUACCCAACCGGGACAACGGUUUAUUUGUGUAAAUCCGUUCUCAUCUCGUAUAUUUCUGAGGAAAUAAAACUUCAACGGUAUAAUUUUAAAUUUAUUUUUCUUAUAUUUUGUGGCGCUCGUGAGGACUAUGGAGUGAUGGUUCUGAAUUUUCUAUAGAGAUUGGUCAACCGAUCAGGAGUAUUACCGAAAACAUAUUCAUCGAGGAAAGACGUGCCGGGUGGUUAUGGCCUGAUUAGGUGAACUUGUUACAGCUUAAGCACAUGUUCUGGCCAUAUUCAAUUAAAUAAUUAAAAGGAUUGUAGCAAAUCCGGAAGAUUACAUAUACUAGGAAAUGAAUCGAGUUGCCAGCUAUACAUAUCCUCUCCAAAUCAAUUGGAUCAGAGACGAAUUAUAUCUUUCCCGGUCUCCUUAUCGAACAAGUUCAGUGUCAAUAUCUCAGGCUUUACGCACCCAACUCCAACUAUAUAUACAUCUCCAAACCAUUCGUUGUGAUCAUCAAGAACACAAACUAGAAACACGAGCAGAAGUAGUAAGAGGUUCAAAUCUCUAGCCACCCCCACAGCCGAGUUCCUGAAACUGAUCGACAGAAAUGGCCGGAGGAGGAGAUGAGCUGAAGCUUUUGGGCACAUGGUUCAGCCCGUUCGUUUCCAGAGUGAAGUUCGUGUUCCACCUCAAGGGCCUGAGCUACGAGAACAUCGAGGAGGACCUCAAGAACAAGAGCGAGCUCCUCCUCAAGAGCAACCCGGCGAUCAAGAAGGUACCCGUGCUCUUCCACAACGGCAAGCCACUCUGCGAGUCCAUGAUCAUCGUCGAGUACAUCGACGAGACCUUCGCCGGCGUCGGCCCGUCCGUCGU